rnacentral:lncRNA from 1 species
AGCUUUAGAGACAUGGAUACGUCAAGUAGAUGAUCGAUUUCAAAUGAUUGUUGCGGUUACACUUGUUGAUUAAAUUCAAGGAGCAGUGAAAGCAUUGGCGAGAAUCAAAAGCAGAUGCGUCUUUACAUCCAAGAAGCUGUGUGUACGGAAAGCAUCACCGCAAUAACAUACGGAAGCGGCACAACGUCAUUUUAAGAAACCCAGCAAGCCGUAUCGGUGGGUUUCGCAUACCUUGUUCCUUUUCAUCAUACUAUAUGUUGUGGCUGUUUGUUUUAAUUCAUAUCCAUUUGAAAUCUGAAUUUUUUUUUGGAAGUUACUUUGAUUCUAGAAGUAAUUUGUAUGUUGGGUAGGUCCUUGACUUCGACUUCUAAGUUUGCUUAUUUCUGUUUGAAAGAUGGGACUGUUAAUUUUUUUUGAAGAAAAUGUGUAUAUGAUUGACAUGUUUAACAGUUAGAAAACGUGUCUGUUAUAACCUUUGCACUAUGUGGCCACUCUAAAUUCCAAUUGAAAUCUGUUUGAAAGAUGGGACUGUUAAUUUUUUUUGAAGAAAAUGUGUAUAUGAUUGACAUGUUUAACAGUUAGAAAACGUGUCUGUUAUAACCUUUGCACUAUGUGGCCACUCUAAAUUCCAAUUGAAUUUCGUGGCUUAUCCCAUGCAUUAGAUUUUCUAAUUGUAAACCACUGGGAUUCUGUUUCGACUACAAGUAGGAAAUCAUGAUUUGUGAAUGUGAUUAUCACCGUUUUGUGAUAGCUGGUGUUUACUAUUGUUAUAUUUUGAAUUUUACCCCUGAUUGUGCACUUCAACAUAUCGUCCAGUUUUGUGUUAAGAAUGGUGUGGUUGUAUUUGUUCAUUGUUAGACUUGUGAGUGUGGGUUUAUCAGUUUGUUUUAGGUCACAGCGAAUAAUUUCCUGCUGGCUGCUAUGCUGUUGUUGUUUAUUUCUAAUUUGGGUAACAAUUUAAUUUGGGUUUAUGUUGAUGUUAUACUGAUCGUUCUUUCAAUUCGAUUAUAUUGUUUUGUGUUUAAAGAUUGGGAUUAUCACAUUGAAAAUUUUGAGUGGAUUACUGGACAUUUAUUUUCAGCUAAGUGUACCUGUUGAAAUUCUUGUGGAUGUGAGCACCAUUACAGGUCGAUUAUUUGAUGUCCAGUAUUUACAGUUUACAGGUUAUUUGAUGUCCCGUAUUUACAGGUUAUAGAAUAUUACUUAGUUUUGUAAGUAGAUGGUGGGAUAUCAAGAAUAUUGUGCGUGCCUGGCUAAGCUAAAAGUUAAGAAAUUCAGAUCAUGGGCCUCUAAAUCAAUGUUAAUACCCAUUUUUGUUUUCUCUUUGAACUUAAUUAAUUGAUUAAAAUCUUUAAAUAGUUUAAUUUCUAUUAAUCAAUUUUAAUUAACUUAAUUAUUUAAUUUAAUUAAAUAAUUUUGAUAAUNAAAUUCAAGGAGCAGUGAAAGCAUUGGCGAGAAUCAAAAGCAGAUGCGUCUUUACAUCCAAGAAGCUGUGUGUACGGAAAGCAUCACCGCAAUAACAUACGGAAGCGGCACAACGUCAUUUUAAGAAACCCAGCAAGCCGUAUCGGUGGGUUUCGCAUACCUUGUUCCUUUUCAUCAUACUAUAUGUUGUGGCUGUUUGUUUUAAUUCAUAUCCAUUUGAAAUCUGAAUUUUUUUUUGGAAGUUACUUUGAUUCUAGAAGUAAUUUGUAUGUUGGGUAGGUCCUUGACUUCGACUUCUAAGUUUGCUUAUUUCUGUUUGAAAGAUGGGACUGUUAAUUUUUUUUGAAGAAAAUGUGUAUAUGAUUGACAUGUUUAACAGUUAGAAAACGUGUCUGUUAUAACCUUUGCACUAUGUGGCCACUCUAAAUUCCAAUUGAAUUUCGUGGCUUAUCCCAUGCAUUAGAUUUUCUAAUUGUAAACCACUGGGAUUCUGUUUCGACUACAAGUAGGAAAUCAUGAUUUGUGAAUGUGAUUAUCACCGUUUUGUGAUAGCUGGUGUUUACUAUUGUUAUAUUUUGAAUUUUACCCCUGAUUGUGCACUUCAACAUAUCGUCCAGUUUUGUGUUAAGAAUGGUGUGGUUGUAUUUGUUCAUUGUUAGACUUGUGAGUGUGGGUUUAUCAGUUUGUUUUAGGUCACAGCGAAUAAUUUCCUGCUGGCUGCUAUGCUGUUGUUGUUUAUUUCUAAUUUGGGUAACAAUU